AGGUGUGGCGGGUGCGUCCAGGUGUGGUGGGUGUGUCCAGGUGCGGUGGGCGUGUCCAGGUGCGGUGGGCGUGGUCACUUGACGCGGAUCUCGGCGUACUCCGGGGGUUCCUCGGGGGGUCCCCGGGCGGGUUUGG